AGUGAACGCUGGCGGUAGGCCUAACACAUGCAAGUCGAACGGCAGCACAGUAAGAGCUUGCUCUUACGGGUGGCGAGUGGCGGACGGGUGAGGAAUACAUCGGAAUCUACUUUUUCGUGGGGGGUAACGUAGGGAAACUUACGCUAAUACCGCAUACGACCUACGGGUGAAAGCAGGGGAUCUUCGGACCUUGCGCGAUUGAAUGAGCCGAUGUCGGAUUAGCUAGUUGGCGGGGUAAAGGCCCACCAAGGCGACGAUCCGUAGCUGGUCUGAGAGGAUGAUCAGCCACACCGGAACUGAGACACGGUCCAGACUCCUACGGGAGGCAGCAGUGGGGAAUAUUGGACAAUGGGCGCAAGCCUGAUCCAGCCAUACCGCGUGGGUGAAGAAGGCCUUCGGGUUGUAAAGCCCUUUUGUUGGGAAAGAAAAGCAGCAGGUUAAUACCCCGCUGUUCUGACGGUACCCAAAGAAUAAGCACCGGCUAACUUCGUG
rnacentral:rRNA from 1 species